CUAGCUUGCUAGAUUGAUGGCGAGUGGCGAACGGGUGAGUAAUACAUCGGAACGUGCCCUGUAGUGGGGGAUAACUAGUCGAAAGAUUAGCUAAUACCGCAUACGACCUGAGGGUGAAAGUGGGGGACCGCAAGGCCUCAUGCUAUAGGAGCGGCCGAUGUCUGAUUAGCUAGUUGGUGAGGUAAAGGCUCACCAAGGCGACGAUCAGUAGCUGGUCUGAGAGGACGAUCAGCCACACUGGGACUGAGACACGGCCCAGACUCCUACGGGAGGCAGCAGUGGGGAAUUUUGGACAAUGGGCGAAAGCCUGAUCCAGCAAUGCCGCGUGUGUGAAGAAGGCCUUCGGGUUGUAAAGCACUUUUGUCCGGAAAGAAAUGGCUCUGGUUAAUACCUGGGGUCGAUGACGGUACCGGAAGAAUAAGGACCGGCUAACUACGUGCCAGCAGCCGCGGUAAUACGUAGGGUCCAAGCGUUAAUCGGAAUUACUGGGCGUAAAGCGUGCGCAGGCGGUUGUGCAAGACCGAUGUGAAAUCCCCGAGCUUAACUUGGGAAUUGCAUUGGUGACUGCACGGCUAGAGUGUGUCAGAGGGGGGUAGAAUUCCACGUGUAGCAGUGAAAUGCGUAGAGAUGUGGAGGAAUACCGAUGGCGAAGGCAGCCCCCUGGGAUAACACUGACGCUCAUGCACGAAAGCGUGGGGAGCAAACAGGAUUAGAUACCCUGGUAGUCCACGCCCUGAACGAUGUCAACUAGUUGUUGGGGAUUCAUUUCCUUAGUAACGUAGCUAACGCGUGAAGUUGACCGCCUGGGGAGUACGGUCGCAAGAUUAAAACUCAAAGGAAUUGACGGAGACCCGCACAAGCGGUGGAUGAUGUGGAUUAAUUCGAUGCAACGCGAAAAACCUUACCUACCCUUGACAUGCCACUAACGAAGCAGAGAUGCAUUAGGUGCUCGAAAGAGAAAGUGGACACAGGUGCUGCAUGGCUGUCGUCAGCUCGUGUCGUGAGAUGUUGGGUUAAGUCCCGCAACGAGCGCAACCCUUGUCUCUAGUUGCUACGAAAGGGCACUCUAGAGAGACUGCCGGUGACAAACCGGAGGAAGGUGGGGAUGACGUCAAGUCCUCAUGGCCCUUAUGGGUAGGGCUUCACACGUCAUACAAUGGUGCAUACAGAGGGUUGCCAAGCCGCGAGGUGGAGCUAAUCCCAGAAAAUGCAUCGUAGUCCGGAUCGUAGUCUGCAACUCGACUACGGAAGCUGG
rnacentral:rRNA from 1 species